GGUUUCUUGAUUUUAUAGGAGAUUUAACCUGCCCACUGAAUGAUUGUUGAAGGGCCGCAGUAAUUUGACUGUGCAAAGGUAGCAUAAUCAUUAGUCUUUUAAUUAGAGGCUGGAAUGAAUGGUUGGACAAGGUAAAUGCUAUUUUAUAUUAAAAAAUUGAAUUUUGAUUUUAAGUAAAAAGACUUAAAUGUUAUUAAGGGACGAGAAGACCCUAUAGAGUUUAAUAAAUGUAAUUUUAAUUAAGUUUUUAUUAAAAAUUUUUAAUUAAUUAUGUAAUUUAUUUAGUUGGGGUGAUAAAAAGAUAACUAAACUCUUUUUAAAGUUUAAUAUCUAUUAAUAGAAUAAUGAUCCAUUAAUAAUGAUUAUAAGACUAAAUUACCUUAGGGAUAACAGCAUAAUUUCUUUUAAGAGUUCUUAUCAAAAAAGAAGUUUAUGACCUCGAUGUUGGAUUAAGAUAAAUUUUAGGUGUAGAUGUUUAAAUAAUUAGGUCUGUUCGACCUUUAAAAUCUUACA
rnacentral:rRNA from 1 species